GUUGUUAAGGAGUAUUAGAGCGGCACUAACUCCGCUGAAAACUCUUCACUUAACUGUUGAGCCUGGAGGUUAUAGACAUGUACAAGUUCAAUAUCUAAAGCCUGAAGUAAUGUAAUGUAUCCUUUUUAAUGAACUUUUUAGGUUUAACAAACCAUUGCAUUUACGGUAAAAUACAGCUUCGGCAGAACUCUAUGGUGAAAUGCACUCAACCAGGAUAUUCAAGUUAAAAUACACACUUUUCUGAAAGUAUAGCUACGUCACUUCAAAUUAUCCAUUGUCAACAGAAGACUAGCAAACCCAUUCAUCUAGAAAAGAUGUAUAAUUGCUAAACAACUGGAAAAAGGUUAGACAUCUACAGCUUGCACAAGAUGCAUUUUCAUUUUUGAAAAACUACCAUCAGGUUCACUUAAGCUACCAUUCAUGUAGCAAAAACUAGCAAAAACUGUCAGACCAACUUACUUGGUUAA